GGCUUGCUUCUUUGAGACCGGCGCACGGGUGCGUAACGCGUAUGCAAUCUACCUUUCACAAAGGGAUAGCCCAGAGAAAUUUGGAUUAAUACCUUAUAGUAAUACGACUUGGCAUCAAGAUGUAUUUAAAGAUUUAUCGGUGAAAGAUGAGCAUGCGUCCCAUUAGCUAGUUGGUAUGGUAACGGCAUACCAAGGCUACGAUGGGUAGGGGUCCUGAGAGGGAGAUCCCCCACACUGGUACUGAGACACGGACCAGACUCCUACGGGAGGCAGCAGUGAGGAAUAUUGGACAAUGGGCGCAAGCCUGAUCCAGCCAUGCCGCGUGCAGGAUGACGGUCCUAUGGAUUGUAAACUGCUUUUAUACAGGAAGAAACAACGCUACGUGUAGCGUCUUGACGGUACUGUAAGAAUAAGGAUCGGCUAACUCCGUGCCAGCAGCCGCGGUAAUACGGAGGAUCCAAGCGUUAUCCGGAAUCAUUGGGUUUAAAGGGUCCGUAGGCGGUCAGAUAAGUCAGUGGUGAAAGCCCAUCGCUCAACGGUGGAACGGCCAUUGAUACUGUCUGACUUGAAUUAUUAGGAAGUAACUAGAAUAUGUAGUGUAGCGGUGAAAUGCUUAGAGAUUACAUGGAAUACCAAUUGCGAAGGCAGGUUACUACUAAUAUAUUGACGCUGAUGGACGAAAGCGUGGGUAGCGAACAGGAUUAGAUACCCUGGUAGUCCACGCCGUAAACGAUGGAUACUAGCUGUUGGGAGCAAUCUCAGUGGCUAAGCGAAAGUGAUAAGUAUCCCACCUGGGGAGUACGAACGCAAGUUUGAAACUCAAAGGAAUUGACGGGGGCCCGCACAAGCGGUGGAGCAUGUGGUUUAAUUCGAUGAUACGCGAGGAACCUUACCAAGGCUUAAAUGUAGUUUGACCGGUUUGGAAACAGAUCUUUCGCAAGACAAAUUACAAGGUGCUGCAUGGUUGUCGUCAGCUCGUGCCGUGAG
rnacentral:rRNA from 1 species